AGGGUUUGAUCCUGGCUCAGAAUGAACGUUGGCGGCGUGGAUUAGGCAUGCAAGUCGAACGAAUCCCGGUAGCAAUACCGGGGGAAGUGGCGAAAGGGGCAGUAAGGCGUGGGCAACCUGCCCCCGAGUCCGGGAUAGCCAUCCUAACGGAUGGGUAAUACCGGGAGACCCGUCGGGGAGACAUCUCCCUGACGGCAAAGGUUCACCGCUCGGGGAGGGGCUCACGUGAUAUCAGCUAGUUGGCGGGGUGACGGCCCACCAAGGCUAAGACGUCUAGCAGGUGUGAGAGCACGACCUGCGCCACUGGCACCGGGACACUGGCCAGACUCCUACGGGAGGCUGCAGUCGAGGAUCUUCGGCAAUGGGCGCAAGCCUGACCGAGCGACGCCGCGUGUGCGAUGAAGGCCUUCGGGUCGUAAAGCACUGUCGGGGGGGAGAAAGGGGCAACCUUGAUCGACCCCCGGAGGAAGCACGGGCUAAGUUCGUGCCAGCAGCCGCGGUAAGACGAACCGUGCGAACGUUAUUCGGAAUCACUGGGCUUGAAGGGCGCGUAGGCGGGCAUCAAAGUCAGGGGUGAAAUCCCGCGGCUCAACCGCGGAAGUGCCUCUGAUACUGGGUGCCUAGAGGGGUGCAGGGGCGUGCGGAACUAAGGGUGGAGCGGUGAAAUGCGUAGAUAUCCUUAGGAACACCGGUGGCGAAAGCGGCGCGCUGGACACCUACUGACGCUGAGGCGCGAAAGCCAGGGGAGCAAACGGGAUUAGAUACCCCGGUAGUCCUGGCCCUAAACGAUGGGUACUGGGUAGCGGCCCCCAACGGGGUCGCUGCCGCAGCGAAAGUGUUAAGUACCCCGCCUGGGGAGUAUGGUCGCAAGGCUGAAACUCAAAGGAAUUGACGGGGGCUCACACAAGCGGUGGAGCAUGUGGCUUAAUUCGAGACUACGCGAAGAACCUUAUCCUGGGCUUGACAAGUUCGCAAGAGUUAGGACGUAGGGACCGGAAACGGCACCCGACAGGUAUCCAAUCCUGAGCCUAACACAGGUGCUGCAUGGCUGUCGUCAGCUCGUGUCGUGAGAUGUCGGGUUAAGUCCCAUAACGAGCGAAACCCCUGUCUCCAGUUGCUAACCCGAAAGGGAGGACUCUGGAGAGACUGCUGGUGUCAAACCGGAGGAAGGUGGGGAUGACGUCAAGUCCUCAUGGCCUUUAUGCCCAGGGCUGCACACGUGCUACAAUGCCGCGUACAAAGGGAAGCGAACGCGCGAGCGGGAGCGGACCCCAAAAAACGCGGCCCAGUUCAGAUCGGAGGCUGCAACUCGCCUCCGUGAAGCCGGAAUCGCUAGUAAUCGCGGGUCAGCAACACCGCGGUGAAUGUGUUCCUGAGCC
rnacentral:rRNA from 1 species